GCCAGCAGCCAUAUCACUGCAGCUCUCAACUGGCUACCCACUGAAGCUCAGCAGUGUUGAGCCUGGUCAGUACCUGGAUGGGAGACCUGCUGGGAAGCUAUGGUUGCUGCUUGAA
rnacentral:rRNA from 1 species